AGAGUUUGAUCCUGGCUCAGGACGAACGCUGGCGGCGUGCCUAAUACAUGCAAGUCGAGCGGAUCUCUGAGGGAGCUUGCUCCUGAUGAGGUUAGCGGCGGACGGGUGAGUAACACGUAGGCAACCUGCCCAUAAGACUGGGAUAACACUCGGAAACGAAUGCUAAGACCGGAUACGCAAGCUUGUCGCAUGACGAGCUU
rnacentral:rRNA from 1 species